UUGCCAUCAGUCCACCAGCGCUAGAAGACACUGCUUCGAUUUAAGUCAAUAAAAUAACACCUCUUCUUAAUAUCUUAUUAUAUUGUUGUGUCGUAUUGUAUUAGUUGGUUGG